GGGCGCGUAGCUCAGCUGGUCAGAGCAUCCGGUUUACACCCGGGAGGUCGCCCGUUCGAACCGGGCCGCGCCCA
rnacentral:tRNA from 2 species